UUCCAAAGUGUUGAGUUCAGUUCAGGGCAGCACCCCCUGUUCUGUUAAUUAAACUUUGGGACAUUGAAACAGGCUAGGGAAGAUGAUUGGAUAGAAAGCAUUACUCUAUUCAUUUACUUCCCAGCCUACAAAA
rnacentral:snoRNA from 1 species